AGGUCCCAGCCUCCCGCGCAGGCGCAGUCCGUAGGUGCUUCGCAGUCCCGGAAGCGGAACGGCUGCCCAGGGCCCGCGCAGGCGCAGUACACAGAAGCCGUGGAGAAGGAGGCCCCGCCCAGGGCCCGAGGCUCCGAGCCCACGUGCUUGGCAGCUUGGCCCCACGGGUUACGCUCGAGCCAGUCUUCUGGGACUGCAGAAGCCACGUGCCCCGGACUGGGGACCUACGCGGACAUUUUCUCAGUCUCAGUGCUGUUGGCUGGUCCUUCUCAUGACCUCACUGAACCUCGUUACCUCCUUAAGACCUCAGUUCACCUUGGCUUCAACGUAUGAUUGUGGGGGCAUAGUGGCCCAGAAAAAAAAUCCCAAGAGAAAUGAAAACGUACAUCCAAAGCAGCCUUGUCUGAGGAUGUUCAUGGGAAUUUUAGUUAUAAUAGCAAAAGGCUGAUAAUAUUUGUGUGUCAGUCAACAGGAACAUGGGCACAGGUUGUCGCUUAUCCACACACAGACUGAAGCAGGCCAGAGACCCCCACCCAGAAGACCCUUACCAUAAUUAAGCAGAAACCCUCACCAUAUUUGUGGUAUAUAAGUUGCUCUUCUUAUCAGAGAGCUUUUUGCAUAGGACAUCAGCUAUCAGCAACAAUCUGCAGAAGGCACUGUGUUUUGUAGCUUCGUCUUUAUUUAUAAAUGCCAGGUUUGCAGGAAAAACUCGUAAAACUCCUCUAGAGGAUGGAAGGGAACGCUCUUGUCAUAUGAACCUCCUAGCCCCCACCAAUAAGUUCAAAGAAUUUCUGUAUUCAUGUUCAGAGGGUGAAUUCUUAUGUGAGAGCCACCUCUGAACCCUGCAGUCAAUAAACCUAUUUCCUGAAAAAUUC